rnacentral:lncRNA from 1 species
CCAACGAUAUGAUCAACCGAUGGAAGAUCAAAUGGCAUGAUGUAUCAAUAUGAAGGCAAGUUUUAGCACAUGUAACAGAACAACCGAUUAUCUGGCCGGUUCAAGAGUAAGAAGAAACAUUCAAUAUGUACCAGAAGAGUAACAUCGAUCAUCAAGUUAAACAUGGGCAUGAGACUAUCAAAGUUAACCCGUGCCAGAAGCAAGGCAGCAUCCACUACGGUCAUACGAAUAGAAAAACUAAUUAGUUAACAUUAAGUUCAGUAAUAUGAGCAGAAACAUAAGAAAGAAAAGGCCAACAAUGGCAAUGGAGGCAAUAAAACUACGAAGCCAUAGUUAGGCAUACAAUAGAUAGCUUGGCUCAAUUGCCUCCGUGAGUGCAUACAAUACAUGUUGACCAUAUCUUAAUCAUGAUAGAUCCAGUUUUCUGAAAAUAUAAACAACGAAGCUUCUAUCAAGCCUAAACCCACUACUGGAAGCAAAGUAAAUUUCCUUAUAUGCAGUGACUCUACCGUCAGUUUGGUUUGUUUGCCUGUGUGGGUGUUGACUUGCUUCAGAAGUCAUAGAUACAAAUAGAAGCAUAAUAUGUGGUUUUAGAAAAUAUAUCAAGUUCUAAAGAUAAAUAAAACUACUUUCAGUAUAUAUAGUAGAUGCCAUUGCAGAUAGCACUCCAAUACUAACAUUAGAAAAGGUAAUCUGGUUUUGGUCACACCAUCAAAAAAUUAGAUAAACACCAGAUGGCAAACAAAAUACAUGUUAAGCCUUCAUCCUUGUGAUUAUUGUUUUUCUUGUUCCAGAGCUCCUGUACAAAUGAUUUACAUGGUGAUCCGGAAAAAGUUGAAGCAAGCAUAUAAAUAGUGACCCUCCUAGUGAGUGAACAAAAUGUAAAAAAAACUCAUUUUCAUUUAGUGCAAACUAUGAUUCAAUCUUUUUUCUUUUUCCAACAAAAAUGUUAAUAUUCAGAAGGUAGUUGGAGACAAGGCUACACCUUAUGAAGGUUUUAAUCUUACGGUUCAAUGAAUUGCAUAGGCAGAGCACACAGUUGAUGGAUUCAAACUAUUUUUAAGAGAUGAUGUGGCAAGGCUAAGAAGAUGAAAAUAAUUAAGAAGAAAAGUUCAUGCUCAACAACUUACGAAGAUUUAACUGGGUAGUGCCUCAUGGCAGUCAUCAACCUUUGAGCCGUAGAACCGUAAGAUCAAACUGAGACUCAAGCCUGCAUAACCAUAGCAAGAAAAGGAUCAUCAACAAAGAGGACAAAGUGAAUCAGGAACCAGUUCCUGGUUCCUCUAAAAAAUCAUUCUAAAUGACAAAUUGUGAGAAGAAAAAAGAACUGGUCUAAUGACAUAGAUGUGUUAAACGGCAAACACUACCAAGUCAGAUCAAAUACUCAGCCUAUUUCUGUCCUUUUUCAAUAUUAAGAACGAUUAUUAGGUAACCAAGUACAUAACAAAAACAAAUAAUGCCUACAUAGUAGCUCAUCUCUCUUAAUGCAUCUACACUGAUUUUGAUGUAUAGUUUAGGACCAAUGGAAAACCAGAAAAACACAAACAACUCACACAAUAAAGCUAAUACUAAAUACUGCACGCCGUCGAGACCUAUCUGGCGUGCAACAUCUGUCACUACAGAAGGACAUCGGCGUCAAUCACAGCGGUAGGGCCAUCAGCAUAGCCAACACGAAUUGCAGGCCGAACCACGGUCGCAGCUACUGACUCCAACAUAUUUUUGAACGUAGAUAUGAUACAUGAUUGAGAAUACCUAAUCAGUAAAGCACCACUACCCAACCAUAAACAUAGAGGAAGUAAUAUGAGCCGAAAUCUCUAAUGGCAUGAAAAAAUUAGAGCAUGUUUGACAUAUCAUUUUAAACUACAAAUAUGAAAUAAACUACAGCCAAGAAAGAAAACUAAGUAGCUAGAGAGCAUACACUGCUUUCUAAUAGGAAAGAAGGUAAUUUAACUGGCAAGGUACUGCCACUGACUCCAACAUGAAAGAAUGAAGAAAACUUUUUUAAUCAACCUCUGCCAUGCUCAUGUUUCUUUUGUAGUCAGUAGAGUAGUUGCAACCAUGCGCAUAUCACUAAGCAAAAAAAAGAGAAGGUCACGACUUACUUAAUGUUUGACGGCGGCAAGAGCCACGAUGGCAUCGGCGGCGGUGGUGGCGUCCGAUCGCCAACAACCAUGCAUAUAUCAAGUGCCAUGAUAUGUGAGGCAAGACAUAGGAAUACAAGAGGGAAACAAAACAGAGGCACACAUGAUGCAUACUUUACCAUACAAACUUAAGGCAGCAAGAGAGGCCCCUAUAACUUGCUGGGAGCAUGUCUUUCUAGUAUAACAAAGUGCAGCUUACUCUUAACCAGAUUAAAUCAAGGACCAACAACAAACAAUAAAAGAUCAAGAACAACUCAUAUGCAAUAAAGGUAUGAGAGAGAAGAAAUCUUUACAUAAGACGACUAUAAACACCGGAGCAUAAAUAAGCAACACCUUUAAAUACAAAUAAAAAGGAUCCAGGGUUCAUUGCAUAGUGGGCUCAGAUCUGACUUUCCUCGAUCAUAUAACCUACCCCCGUCUCUUAUCACCAGAUCAAUCUUUUUAUACAGUGGAGCUUCCCUGGUUAUCACUCAACAAGAAUGACCAUCCAAGGACAGAGCAACAAGUAUCACAGGAUCAAAAAGGAUUCUAGAGACAAGAGGGAGGAUUCAACUUGAUACCCACAUGUGCCUCGAUUGCUCGAAGGCACACUUAUUUCAGACACGGCUAAUCAUCAUCGCCCCAGCACGAAAGCCAUCGGAGCAUAAAUAAGUAACACCUUUAAGUACAAAUAAAAAUAGUUCAGGGUUCAUUGCAUUGUGGGCUCAGAUUCGGCUUUCCUCGAUCAUAUAACCUACCCCCGUCAUCUUUUAUCAUAGAUCAAUCUGUUUAUACAAUGGAGCUGCCCUGGUUAUCACUCAACAAGAAUGACCAUCCUAGGACAGAACAACAAGUAUCACAGGAUCAAAAAGGACUCCAGAGACAAGAGGGAGGAUCCAGCUUGAUACCCACGGGUGCCUCGAUUGCUCAAAGGCACACUUAUUUCAGUCAAGGUUGUCAGGACCCGAGUGCCUCUGUCUGAAGAUCCGAUCGCUGCAAAUAGGAUU